rnacentral:rRNA from 1 species
GACAGAGGGGGCAAGCGUUGUCCGGAGUUACUGGGCGUAAAGGGCGCGGAGGCGGCCUGCGGCGUCGGCGCUGAAAGCGCCCCGCUUAACGGGGCGAGGCGUGCCAAUACGCGCAGGCUCGAGGCGAGCAGUGGGUGGUGGAAUUCCGGGUGGAGCGGUGAAUUGCGUAGAGAUCCGUAGGAACGCCAGUGGGGAAGUUGGCCAACUGGGCUCGGCCUGACGCUGCUGCGCGACAGCUUGGGGAGAAAACCGG